UCAGGGGCUCANCCCUGACUGCAGCCGAUACGGGCAAGCUAGAGUUUGGUAGGGGAGACUGGAAUUCUGGUGUAGCGGUGGAAUGCGCAGAUAUCAGGAGGAACACCGAUGGCGAAGGCAGGUCUCUGGGCCAAUACUGACACUGAGGAGCGAAAGCGUGGGGAGCGAACAGGAUUAGAUACCCUGGUAGUCCACGCCGUAAACGGUGGGCGCUAGUUGUGCGAACCUUCCACGGUUUGUGCGACGCAGCUAACGCAUUAAGCGCCCCGCCUGGGGAGUACGAUCGCAAGAUUAAAACUCAAAGGAAUUGACGGGGCCCCGCACAAGCAGCGGAGCAUGCGGCUUAAUUCGACGCAACGCGAAGAACCUUACCAAGGCUUGACAUAUACAGGAAUAUGGCAGAGAUGUCAUAGCCGCAAGGUCUGUAUACAGGUGGUGCAUGGUUGUCGUCAGCUCGUGUCGUGAGAUGUUGGGUUAAGUCCCGCAACGAGCGCAACCCUCGUUCUGUGUUGCCAGCAUUUAGUUGGGGACUCACAGGAGACUGCCGGGGUUAACUCGGAGGAAGGUGGGGAUGACGUCAAAUCAUCAUGCCCCUUAUGUCUUGGGCUGCACGCAUGCUGCAAUGGCUGGUACAAGCGGCUGCGAUACCGCAAGGUGGAGCGAAUCCGAUAAAGCCAGUCUCAGUUCGGAUUGGGGUCUGCAACUCGACCCCAUGAAGUCGGAGUUGCUAGUAAUCGUAGAUCAGCAACGCUACGGUGAAUACGUUCCCGGGGCUUGUACACACCGCCCGUCACAUCACGAAAGUCGGUAACACCCAAAGUCAGUGGCCCAACCGCAAGGAGGGAGCUGCCAAAGGUGGGAUCGGUGAUUGGGAUGAAGUCGUAACAAGGUA
rnacentral:rRNA from 1 species